UACGUAGGGGGCAAGCGUUGUCCGGAUUCAUUGGGCGUAAAGCGCGCGUAGGCGGCUUUGCAAGUCGGGUGUGAAAUCCCCAGGCUUAACCUGGGAACUGCAUUCGAGACUGCAUUGCUAGAGUAUGGGAGAGGGAAGUGGAAUUUCCGGUGUAGCGGUGAAAUGCGUAGAUAUCUGGAGGAACACCGGUGGCGAAGGCGGCAUCCUGGACCGGCAUUGACGCUGAGGAGCGAAAGCGUGGGGAGCGAACAGG
rnacentral:rRNA from 1 species